GUGAGGAAUUUUCCGCAAUGGGCGAAAGCCUGACGGAGCAAUGCCGCGUGAAGGAUGAAGGCCUAUGAGUUGUAAACUUCUUUUCUCAGAAAAGAAUUAUGACGGUAUCUGAGGAAUAAGCAUCGGCUAACUCUGUGCCAGCAGCCGCGGUAAGACAGAGGAUGCAAGCGUUAUCCGGAAUGAUUGGGCGUAAAGCGUCUGUAGGUUGUUUAAAAAGUAUUCUGUCAAAGAUUAGGGCUUAACCCUAGAUAGGCAGAAUAAACUUUUAAGCUAGAGUUUGGUAGAGGCAGAGGGAAUUCCCGGUGGAGCGGUGAAAUGCGUAGAUAUCGGGAGGAACACCAAAGGCGAAGGCACUCUGCUGGGCCAAUACUAACACUGAGAGACGAAAGCGAGGGGAGCAAAUGGGAUUAGAAACCCUUGUAGUCC
rnacentral:rRNA from 1 species